rnacentral:rRNA from 1 species
ACGAACGCUGGCGGCGUGCUUAACACCUGCAAGUCGAACGGAAAGGCCCCUUUGGGGGUACUCGAGUGGCGAACGGGUGAGUAACACGUGAGUAACCUGCCCUUGACUUCGGGAUAACUUCAGGAAACUGGGGCUAAUACCGGAUAGGAAUCCUUGCUGCAUGGUGGGGGUUGGAAAGCUUCGGCGGUUUUGGAUGGACUCGCGGCUUAUCAGCUUGUUGGUGGGGGAGUGGCUUACCAAGGCUUUGACGGGUAGCCGGCCUGAGAGGGCGACCGGCCACAUUGGGACUGGGAUACGGCCCAGACUCCUACGGGAGGCAGCAGUGGGGAAUAUUGCACAAUGGGCGGAAGCCUGAUGCAGCAACGCCGCGUGCGGGAUGACGGCCUUCGGGUUGUAAACCGCUUUCAGCAGGGGCGAAGCUUGUGGUGACGGUACCUGCAGAAGAAGCACCGGCUAACUACGUG